AUUGAACGCUGGCGGCAGGCCUAACACAUGCAAGUCGAGCGGGGUUUUCGGACCUAGCGGCGGACGGGUGAGUAAUGCGUAGGAAGCUACCCGAUAGAGGGGGAUACCAGUUGGAAACGACUGUUAAUACCGCAUAAUGUCUACGGACCAAAGUGUGGGACCUUCGGGCCACAUGCUAUCGGAUGCGCCUACGUGGGAUUAGCUAGUUGGUGAGGUAAUGGCUCACCAAGGCGACGAUCCCUAGCUGGUUUGAGAGGAUGAUCAGCCACACUGGAACUGAGGCACGGUCCAGACUCCUACGGGAGGCAGCAGUGGGGAAUAUUGGACAAUGGGCGCAAGCCUGAUCCAGCCAUGCCGCGUGUGUGAAGAAGGCCUUCGGGUUGUAAAGCACUUUCAGUAGGGAGGAAGCGUUGUGUGUUAAUAGUACACAGCGUUGACGUUACCCACAGAAGAAGCACCGGCUAACUCUGUGCCAGCAGCCGCCGUAAGAC
rnacentral:rRNA from 1 species